rnacentral:rRNA from 1 species
AUGGACAGACUUCUAAAACUCACGGGAUUUGGUUGGGAUGACGAUGACAAAAUGAUAAAAGCUCCAGAAGAUAUUUGGGUAGAACUAAUUAAGAAGGAUAAGGCUAUCCAAGAAUAUCGAGAUAAGGUGUGGCCUAGUUGGAUAGAUCUUCAAGCCAUAUGUGCUAGUUCAACAGCAUCUGGAGCUGGUGUUGUAUCUAGCAAAGGAAAUGAUGGUACAUGUACGACCAAAUCUUCACAAAUUGAUCUCAAUACGGAAGUUGAAGUACAUGACAUCGAUUCUGAUGAAAUCAAUGCUUCCCCUGGUGUCUUCACCAAGAAGUCAACUACCAUUGAGCCAGAAAAAAAGAAGUCCCCUGGAAGUGGAUCCAAGGAAACUGCAAGAGGACAAAAACGGACAGCCGAUGAUGCCAUAAUAGCAAUUGAUCGCCUUGCAGAUGCAUCACUUAGCAUUGCUGAAGCAAAGAAAACAGUAGCACAACAAACUAAAGCUUACUCGGUUAAAUCUUGUAUGGCAAUACUAAAUAGCAUGAGUAAUCUAGAUCCCAAAGAGAAACUAAAAGCGGUAAAGGCAUUUACAGAUGAUUCAAGCAAUCAAGUCUCAUCAAAAAUAUUGGGUGACGCAAGAUUCUACCCAUAUUUCAAGAACUGCCUAGGAGCAAUUGAUGGGACACAUAUUGAGGCAAAAGUCAGGCUUGAUAAGCAAACUCCUUAUAGAAAUAGACAUGGUUAUCCGUCUCAAAAUGUAAUGGCAGUAGUGUCAUUUGACAUGACAUUCUCUUAUGUCGCUGCUGGAUGGGAGGGUUCUGCAUCGGAUCAAGCUGUUCUAAGAUGGGCUGUGACUAGUGGGGGUUUAGUUGUUCCUGAAGGUAAAUUUUACCUUGUUGAUUCAGGCUACGCAAAUACUCCAAGAUUUAUUGCCCCGUAUCAUGGAGAUCGCUAUCAUAUUGCUUCUUUUCGUGGAAGUAAUCGGCGAUAUACUGGUGAGAAGGACUUGUUCAACCAUCUACAUGCACAGUUGCGGAAUGUUGUUGAAUGA